rnacentral:rRNA from 1 species
UUUAACAUGAGAGUUUGAUCCUGGCUCAGGAUGAACGCUGGCGGCGUGCUUAACACAUGCAAGUCGAACGGACUUUAUAUGAAGCCUAGCGAUUAUAAAGUUAGUGGCGGACGGGUGAGUAACGCGUGAAUAACCUGCCCUGUACCGGGGGACAACAGUUGGAAACGGCUGCUAAUACCGCAUAAGCGCACGGUUCCGCAUGGAACAGUGUGAAAAACUCCGGUGGUACAGGAUGGAUUCGC